UCUUUUAUAUAUAAAAGAAAUAAUUAAUAUGUAAAAUUAAAAUUCUAUAUCAAAUUAUAUAAAUGAA
rnacentral:tRNA from 3 species